UACGAAGGGGGCUAGCGUUGCUCGGAAUCACUGGGCGUAAAGGGCGCGUAGGCGGCCAUUCAAGUCAGGGGUGAAAGCCCAAGGCUCAACCUUGGAAUUGCCUUUGAUACUGUUUGGCUUGAGACCGGAAGAGGUCGGCGGAACUGCGAGUGUAGAGGUGAAAUUCGUAGAUAUUCGCAAGAACACCAGUGGCGAAGGCGGCUAACUGGUCCGGUUCUGACGCUGAGGCGCGAAAGCGUGGGGAGCAAACAGG
rnacentral:rRNA from 1 species